CCCUGUCCCAGACCUGGGCCACCCCUCAAUCCACGGCAGGCUCGUACCACACUGCCCUCAGCUACUCUGGAGCCUCCCUGGCCAGGCAGAAAGACUUCUUCCUCAGCACAUUCCGAGGUAAACUGAGGCAUGGAGGCAAGAAUGGACUUAACGCAUGCUCAAGGACGUGGAAUUAGUCCUAACCCCCUCAGGAUUGACAUAGCUAGCCCAGGGGCCGGAAGGGGAAAAAGCUUAAGGUAUGGCCACCUCGGUAGGGGCAUACCUGAGUGCUGCCACUCCCAGGGACCCUGACGAGCUCCCGACCGCCCGCCCGCACUCAAGACCCUUCCCCAGUGCUGUUUCUUUCAACCACAAGAUCAGCGCACCGAGCCCCGGAACGGCCCGCCCACGGAGCGCUCAUUGGCCUGACCGCGCAGGAACUGCCGCACCAUUGGCCACUGUCUAGGUCGCUAGGCGCUGCGGCCACGCGAACCCCGCAUGGGAGAGGCGAAGCCGGUUCAAACCGGCGGCGCGAUCCUGCCGAAGAGCCCCCAUCCCGGGCUGUUACCUCGGCAAUCAGUCCGUUUCCAUAGAAGCAGACCCCGGCCCCUCCAUCCCUCAGCUCCCUCCCGGGUUCUUAAUCUAUUCCCUGGCGGAUCCUGUAUCCAGUUUAUUCCCUCUCAUAUUCACAAAUUUUCUAAGCCCCUUCUUGUGCGGCUUCUGACCCCCCACUCCCUGGCCUGGGACCCGGAUCCCCGGGAUUCAGCUCACCCAGCUCCUACUGAUGUGUGUCGGGCCCGCCCGGCGUUUUUUCUGCCCUCUUUUAUUCCAGCCCUUUUAUUCCGACCCUAAGAUGAAAACACUGCUGCCUGCUGAUUGGCUGAGUGGGGGCUGGAAACAGGCGUUGACCAAUCAUCAUCCACCCGCCCGCCCCCCGGCAAGCAGAAGCCGGUUCCGGCCGGACUUGAAGACAAACAAGAGAGUUGGGGGGGCCUGGGGCAGCUGUGGGCCUUGUCUUGACUCUGCUGUUUUAAAGUGGAGCCGCAGCCAGGCCGGGAACCCCCGGGACGUUGCUCCACCGCCUCUCCAGAGCCCCACCCGGAGCCCUGACCCUGGGCUGGGCCCUCAGCUAGGCGUUCCCGCGCUCCUCGGACUUCCCCAGCUGCGUGGCGGUCGCCUCCGAUCUCGCACUCCGCUCUCCUCUGACCCGCUAGACUAUAAACACUUUGGGGCAGGAAUAUGUAUUAUUCAACUUUGGAUAACCAGCUCCUAAUACUGAAGUAAGCACAAUGGAGACACACAAUAUGGGUUUGUGGAAUAAAAAUGAAAGUUCUGAAAA